AGCGAACGCUGGCGGCAGGCCUAACACAUGCAAGUCGAACGAACUCUUCGGAGUUAGUGGCGGACGGGUGAGUAACACGUGGGAACGUGCCUUUAGGUUCGGAAUAACUCAGGGAAACUUGGGCUAAUACCGAAUGUGCCCUUCGGGGGAAAGAUUUAUCGCCGUUAGAGCGGCCCGCGUCUGAUUAGCUAGUUGGUGAGGUAAAGGCUCACCAAGGCUACGAUCAGUAGCUGGUCUGGGAGGAUGACCAGCCACAUUGGGACUGAGACACGGCCCAAACUCCUACGGGAGGCAGCAGUGGGGAAUCUUGCGCAAUGGGCGAAAGCCUGACGCAGCCAUGCCGCGUGGAUGAUGAAGGUCUUAGGAUUGUAAAAUCCUUUCACCGGUGAAGAUAGUGACUGUAGCCGGAGAAGAAGCCCCGGCUAACUUCGUGCCAGCCGCCGCCGUAAUAC
rnacentral:rRNA from 1 species